rnacentral:rRNA from 1 species
AGCAUCUAAAGGGCAUACGGUGGAUGCCUUGGCAAAACGUGCCGAUGAAGGACGUAGCAGCCUGCGAUAAGCUUCGGGGAGGUGGCAAGCAACCUUUGAUCCGGAGAUUUCCGAAUGGGGAAACCCAAUGCGGGGAAGCCGCAUUACCUUGUGCUGAAUACAUAGGUACAAGGAGGGCACCUGGGGAAGUGAAACAUCUCAGUACCCAGAGGAAAAGAAAAAGAAUGUUCGUUUUACGUUUACAUGCACACGCACGUUGCCUGUAAACGGAUAACGAGCCCAUUCCCUAAGUAGUGGCGAGCGAAAAGGGAAGAGCCCAAACCUUAAUGAGUGAAGUUGUUGUGAUCAUGUGGACUUCGGUUCGUAUGUGACCAGCAAUGAAAGAUGGAAGUCGUUGCUCCUAAGGCGUUGUAAGAUAGUUAUGUCGUCUUCUUCCAAAGACGGGUAAUGCAAGUUGUACGAUGUAUAGUGGAAGUCGUUGGAAAACGACACCAAAGAAGGUGAUAGUCCUGUACAUAAAAUACUCCCGUACCAUUACUAUGAUUAUUCUUGAGUACCACGGGACUCGUGAAAUCCUGUGGGAACCUGCCGCGACUAUGUGGCAAGGCUAAAUACACGUUUUGACCGAUAGUGAACAAGUACCGUGAGGGAAAGGUGAAAAGCACCCCGAGAGGGGAAUGAAAUAGUAUCUGAAACCGUAUGCUUACAAGGAGUCAGAGUCCCGCUUUGCGGGAUGAUGGCGUUCCUAUUGAAGAAUGAGCCAACGAGUGUGUUGUAUGUUGCUUGGUUAAGUCCUCCGGGACGGAGCCAUAGUGAAAGCGAGCGUUAACCCGCGUGAUGUGACUAAAUUCGAAUUGUUCGAUUUUUAUCGAACUUUUCGAAUUUUUUCACAGAGUAGCAUGCACACGACCCGAAACCAGGCGACCUAGCCAUGGCCAGGUUGAAGCGAGUGUAACAGCUCGUGGAGGACCGAACCCACGCGUCGUGCAACACGCGGGGAUGAGCUGUGGUUAGCGGAGAAAUUCCAAUCGAGCCUGGUAAUAGCUGGUUCUCCCCGAGAUAGCUUUAGGGCUAGCGUCGGUUAAUAGUGUAUUGGGGGUAGAGCACUGAAUGGGGUCACCGCCUUCGGGUAGGUAUCCUAAACAAACUCCGAAUACCAAUACAUGUUCCCGGCAGUCAGACUAUGGGGGCUAAGCUCCAUUAGUCGAAAGGGAAACAGCCCAGAUCUCCAACUAAGGUCCCUAAAUCAUCAUUAAGUGUAAAAGGUGGUUGAAAGGCUUAUACAACCAGGAGGUUGGCUUAGAAGCAGCCAUCCUUUAAAGA